CACAACAAAAACAACAAAAACAACAGCAACAAAAAAACUAUAAUUGCGCCAACCUCACUCUUUUCGCACUUGCGCGUUUUUUUGCUUUGUUUUUGUGUUUUUUUUGUUUUU
rnacentral:ribozyme from 1 species